rnacentral:rRNA from 1 species
GAUGAACGCUGGCGGCGUGCUUAACACAUGCAAGUCGAACGGAAAGGCCCAAGCUUGCUUGGGUACUCGAGUGGCGAACGGGUGAGUAACACGUGGGUGACCUGCCCUGCACUUUGGGAUAAGCCUGGGAAACUGGGUCUAAUACCGGAUAGGACCACUCCUUGGAUGUUGUGGUGGAGAGCUUUUUCGGUGUGGGAUGAGCUGGCGGCGUAUCAGCUUGUGGUUGGGGUAAUGGCCUACCACGGCGUCGGCGGGUAGCCGGCCUGGGGGGGUGUGCGGCCGCAUUGGGACUGAGGGACGGCCCAGGCUCCGACGGGAGGCAGAAGGGGGGAAUAUUGCACAAUGGGCACCGGGCUGAUGCAGCGACGCCGCGUGGGGGAAAGCCGCCUUCGGGUUGUAGACUCCUUUCGCUAGGAACGAAGCGUUUUGUGACGGUACCUGGAGAAGAAGCACCGGCUAACUACGUG